UACGUAGGGCGCAAGCGUUGUCCGGAAUCAUUGGGCGUAAAGAGCGCGUAGGCGGCCCGAUAAGUCCGCUGUGAAAGUCAAGGGCUCAACCCUUGAAUGCCGGUGGAUACUGUCGGGCUAGAGUCCGGAAGAGGCGAGUGGAAUUCCUGGUGUAGCGGUGAAAUGCGCAGAUAUCAGGAGGAACACCAAUGGCGAAGGCAGCACUCUGGGACGUGACUGACGCUGAGACGCGAAAGCGUGGGGAGCAAACAGG
rnacentral:rRNA from 1 species